rnacentral:rRNA from 1 species
UACGUAGGGGGCUAGCGUUGUCCGGAUUUAUUGGGCGUAAAGAGCACGCAGGCGGUUUGGCAAGUCGGAUGUGAAAACCCGGAGCUCAACUCCGGACCUGCAUCCGAAACUGCCCGACUAGAGGUAGGUAGGGGAGAUCGGAAUUCCUGGUGUAGCGGUGAAAUGCGCAGAUAUCAGGAGGAACACCGGUGGCGAAGGCGGAUCUCUGGGCCUUACCUGACGCUCAGGUGCGAAGGCUAGGGGAGCGAACAGG